rnacentral:lncRNA from 1 species
CAGAGACACCCUGCACAUCUGGGGGCAGCAAUGAACAACCAAAAAUCUGAAAGGAGGGAGCCCUGCAGGAUUCACCAUGCAGGAUUCACCCUAUGGGAUUUCCCCUGCAGGAUUCACCCUGCAGGAUUUACCACACAGAAUUCACCUUGCAGAAUUUCCCUUCAGGAUUCACCCUGCAGGAUUCCCUGUGUGCACCCAGGGCCUGCAGCACGGCCAGCCCAUCAAUCAAUCCUGCAGAACCUGGAGGAAAAUGUGGGAUUCCAUCCAGGGCUGGGCACUGCAGCCCCAGGAUGUCCCCACUGCGUCCCCACUCGAGUCCUGCUGUGUCCUGGAAGGUGCCACAGACUCAGGUCCAGGGAGGAAAUUCCUUUUCCUCCACUGGAAAAAGCCCAGGGGAUGUUUGGUGGCACUGGAACUCGCUGUGUUUAUGGGCAGCAGCUCCAGCCCUGCUGGUCUGAAAACAUUUCUGGGGAAUUGCAGAGACAAACAGGAGAGUUUGGAGGGCAGAGGAGCAGGGCAGGCUCUGAGCUGGGAAAGGGAAUUUCAGGGCAGGGAAAGCAGCCAGGGGAGCUCAGGGCUCUGUCACCUCAGCAGCAGGCGGGCAGCAGGUCCCUGCUCUCCCCACGGUUAAUUAAGCCCCCAUUAAUUAAAUGCUGGAGCUCAACCCAGCGCAGGGAUGUCAGAAAUUCGGGGAGCUGCUGCCCACAGUCAGGUUCAAAGCAACCCCACAGCUCACCCAGCCUCUCCUGCACCACCAAGGGCUUCUUUCCCCCAUAUAAUGUCUCUGGCAAAGAAAUUAAUUUUUUUGGAGAGGGGGUUGACUCUCUGUUGUUCAGCUCAUUGCUCAGCUCAUCACUUUGAGUAAUUUCAUCCAUUUUGAGGCAUUUCCCCUCAGUCUUCUUAUUCCUAAUUAAAGUCACAAACUCCCCAAAGUCUUUGCUGACCUUGCAGCCCCAGCCCAGGGGAUUUUGGAGCCUUUGUGCAGCACUGAGAACGUUGGAGCCUCUCAGUGUGGCCUGGACCAGCUGAACUUCCCAGAGCACUUCCCUUUGUUCUUGUCCCUCCCCACCUUGCUGGGGGCGUUAUUGUCACCCUCAGUCCCUCCCAGCCCCUUCUGCUCCCCAGCACUCUCAGGAUGUUCCCACCUUCUCUCCAGCCCUAAAC